rnacentral:tRNA from 1 species
UCCCGCAUAGCUCAGUUGGUAAAAAGAGUCUGCCUGCAAUGCAGGAGACCCGGGUUCAAUUCCUGGAUCAGGAA